rnacentral:rRNA from 1 species
UUCCGGUUGAUCCUGCCAGAGGUUACUGCUAUCGAGGUCCGACUAAGCCAUGCGAGUCGAAUGUAGCAAUACAUGGCGAACUGCUCAGUAACACGUGGACAACCUACCCUCAGAUCUGGGAUAAACCUGGGAAACUGGGUAUAAUACCGGAUAGGUCUUGGAUGCUGGAAUGCACCGAGGCCGAAAGCUCCGGCGUCUGAGGAUGGGUCUGCGGCCUAUCAGGGUAGUAGUGGGUGUAAAGUACCUACUAGCCUACGACGGGUACGGGUCGUGAGAGCGAAAC